UUAUAUUUUACGAAUUUAAAAAUUAGGGUAAACUAUAAAAAUAAUCACUUUUGUUUGCCUCAGAUCAUAUUUUAGUCAUUUAUAUUUGAAAUUUUACGUUUUAGUACGUUUUAGUCACUUACAGUAUCGUUUUGUUAUAAAGUGGUUACUCUACCGUUCAACUCCGUUACCUCCCUAACGGUAGUCCUACGUGGCAAUCUAAAUAGGUUUUAAAUACUAACUAUAGAAGCCUAAAUUACCCAAACCUCAUUUACAACCAACAACCCAAAACCCAAUUUCUAAACAAACAGCCCAAAAUAAACCCAUACAAAGACCCAUUAAACCCCAACAUAACCCACAACCCAAACCCAUCAACUAACAACCCAAAUUCCACCAAACCUUAGCCCAUCCCAAUCAAAUCAGCAACCAAACCCUAGGUGCGGCUUCAGCUUUUUGACCUCUGCCACCACCCACCGCCACUCCUCUGUUAGCCACCUGCUCCAUCAUCCCUCUGCACCUGCAAGGAAUUAAAAGGAAAGGAUAGCAAACAUAAAAUAAUAAAAAGGAAAGCAUUUGUAAAAGGCUAUAAAAGCCAUCAAAAGACAGUGUAAUGGGGGGGACGAAUUUUUGGAUGAAUGAAAACAGUAGAUUCGGCCAUUUUAAUACCAACCAAUAGACUUUAGAUCACCAAAAAGCAGAGAAUAACACCAAAACAGAAGAUAAUCAAAAGCAAGAAUAAAAAUAAAGAAACAACAGAAGGUGAUUGGCAUCUUUUUCUUUUUUUCUUUCUUCUUUCGAAAUUUCUUUUUUUCUUUUAUUUUUUUUUCUCUCUUUUUAUGUACAUACACAUAUAUAUUAUUAAAAAUAAAAAAAAUAAUGAAAAAAUAAAAAAAGUUACCUUUUGAACUUCCGGCCACCGCGCGACGGUGGCGCAUAGCAGAGGUACGGCAUCGGAGUCUCACCGAAAAUCCCCAGGCUGAGAGAGGGCUGAGAGAGAGAGAGUGAGAGCUUUUUUGAAG
rnacentral:lncRNA from 1 species